rnacentral:rRNA from 1 species
UACGAAGGGGGCUAGCGUUACUCGGAAUUACUGGGCGUAAAGGGCGCGUAGGCGGCGCUCCAAGUUAGGCGUGAAAGUCCUGGGCUCAACCUGGGAACUGGCGCUUAAGACUGGAGUGCUUGAGGAUGGAAGAGGGUUGUGGAAUUCCCAGUGUUGAGGUGAAAUUCGUAGAUAUUGGGAAGAACACCGGUGGCGAAGGCGGCGGACCUGGUCCAUUACUGACGUGAGGCGCGACAGCGUGGGGAGCAAACAGG